UUUUGCAGCGGGAAGUUUAGUAAACCUUGCGACAAUGUUGCAUUUCAAUUGCCUUCGGAUGCCUGCUACAGCAGCAUACAUUCUGUGUGCCUUCUUCGGAUUGCAAGUCCUUGUAGGCGUUCUCAAAAUAAAGAAACUGGACCAACAAGAGAGAUUGAUAACCGGCACGGCUUGACCUAUGAGUUUCUUCCUUGUAGCAAGUUGUUGUCACACUCUUAUCGAUUCUCUUUUCAAAUCUAAUUUCCUCAUCCAUUUUGUAUCAUAGAAACUGCAUCUUAGUAACAAGCAAACUUGUAAAUGGUGCAUUAUAAUUGUAAAUAUAACAUUGUAGCUCUCAUUCUUAUAGAGUUGAAAGAUUUGCUCGA